UCAAAAAAUAUGGCCUUUUAUUGUCUUGGAUGCAAAUAUAGUUUUCAAACUGCAUUGUAGUGUUGAAUACAGCUGGUGGAAAGGUGCUUCUCAACAGCAGAGCAUAAACGGCCUUGCUCUGGAUGGCGCAGGCCUGAGGCUUGGGGCCUCCGGUGAGCAAGACUCUUCUUGGGUUUUGUUUUUCUGCCCACGAGGGGUGACUGUUUGCUACAGAAGCCCUGACACAGUCACCGGAGCUCACAAGAGAAAAAAAUGAACCAUUUACACAAUGAACUGAAAGCAGAAAAAGGAAAAGAACGUGCUGUUUCAGCUGUGGCGUUACAGAAGAAGCCCACAAACACGAGUGUGAACAGAUUCAGAUAAAGCAGCAGCAAGGGCGCCGAGGGAGGGGCCUCGUGCCAGUUCCCUCGGGGACACACAGCCUCGGCUCCAUGUCUCCUACCUUUUAACUGCAGGAAGGAAACUUUAUGGAAAUGUAUCGAACUUCAGUUUCUCCCAACCCUCUCCACCACCUCAACUCUUGAGGAUGGCACCUCUCUGUUCACAUACCCAGGAGAGAAUUCUUCCAAUUAGCGACACCCAGGGUUGACUCUGGAACCAAAAGGUUGACUGGGAGAUAAAAGCGAAUUUUGCUACAUAAUUGUCAAGGUAUUUCACAAAAAUAAAAUCCAUUAAAAACACCCACAAACACGCACACACACACACACACACAGAGCCAACAUUCAACAGGAAAAGUUCCCUUUUCUUUCUCAAAGGCUGAUUUUUACAAGCCUCGACAGGAACGGCCCCCACGUGGUGAGCUGGGAAAGCCAAGGCCUCAGAAGGGAAAGACAAUGGGGCAGGUGAUGGAGGGGAUGUGGUGAAAAUCUUUAAUAUACAAGGCAUCAGGGACAUCGAGCCAAAAACCAUGGCCCACCACUGCUGCGCACCCACCUCAGGGCUCGCCAGCUCCCUUCCUCGUUGUCAAGGCCACUGCAGAGGAAGCACUUUGCAAAGUGGCUCCGACAAGCAGCAGACCGGGCGGGUUUCACCUGCAGCAAAUCAAUCAGCGGAAGCAAGGCAUCUCUAGGGAAAGGCAAUUCCUCCACCAGAGAGAGGAGAGCAGCUAUACUCAGCUUAGUUAGGGGCCUGGGGCCGUGAGAGAGACAAAAGACGCAGGCAGAGCUAGAUGACCAUGGGAGGGGAAGAGCAUAGGGGUGCUGUGCCAAGGCUGCC
rnacentral:lncRNA from 1 species